rnacentral:rRNA from 2 species
ACGGGGUGCAGCAGGCGCGAAACCUUUGCAAUGUGCGCAAGCACGACAAGGUUAAUCCGAGUGUUUCCUGCUAAAGGAAUCUUUUGUUAGUCGUAAAACCACUGAUGAAUAAGGGGUGGGCAAGUUCUGGUGUCAGCCGCCGCGGUAAAACCAGCACCUCAAGUGGUCAGGAGGAUUAUUGGGCCUAAAGCAUCCGUAGCCGACUCUGCAAGUUUUCGGUUAAAUCCAUUUGCUUAACAAAUGGGCUGCCGAAAAUACUACAUAGCUAGGGAGUGGGAGAGGUAGACGGUAUUCGGUAGGAAGGGGUAAAAUCCUUUGAUCUAUUGAGGACCACCUAUGGCGAAGGCAGUCUACCAGAACACGUUCGACGGUGAGGGAUGAAAGCUGGGGGAGCAAACCGGAUUAGAUACCCGGGUAGUCCCAGCUGUAAACGAUGCAAACUCGGUGAUGCGCUGGCUUGUGGCCAGUGCAGUGCCGCAGGGAAGCCGUUAAGUUUGCCGCCUGGGAAGUACGUACGCAAGUAUGAAACUUAAAGGAAUUGGCCGGGGAGCAC